UACUUACUCCCUCCGUCCGGAAAUACUUGUCAUCAAAAUGGACAAAAAUGGAUGUAUCUAAAACUAAAAUACAUCUAGAUACAUCCUCUUUUAUUCAUUUUGAUGACAAGUAUUUCCGGACGGAGGGAGUAUUUC
rfam:Triticum aestivum genome assembly, contig: Triticum_aestivum_CS42_TGACv1_scaffold_374242_5AL